UAAACAAACACUGCGCUCCGGAGGGGUGCCAGUCCCGGCGCUAGUCACAGGACAGACGCACCGCUGCUCCCAGCGCUGUCGUGAGAGGCAGACCAGGCACAAUGUGAUGCGCUCUGAAUGCGGGGGGAGAUAGAGAUCAGAAACCACUUUUCAGAGAUAUCAGUGUUAGGCAAAUGCUUACAAAAGGGGAUCAGUGACUAAUCCAAAAGUUGCAUGCUGCUAGAAUGCAACUGGGGCACCAUCGAACCCCUUUGCCCAAUUAUAUUUCCCCCCAAGAUUAUUCUGACUAGCGAAGUAUCCAUCCAUCGCUCUCUUCUCUCUGAACAGAAAUAGAGACGGUUUCGGAGAGGUAGCCCUGUUAGUCUGUAUCAGCAAAAACAAGAGGAGUCCUUGUGGCACCUUAGAGACUAACAAAUUUAUUUGGGCAUAAGCUUUUGUGGGCUAAAACCCACUUCAUCUGAUGCAUGGAGUGGAACAUACAGUAGGGAGGUAUAAAUAUACAGAAAAGAUGGGAGUUGCCUUACCAAGUGGGGAGGUCAGGCUUUGUUUUCACUAAAAGCCCAUUUCACCGGUGAGUUUCCCUUCCCGUCAUUUUUUUCCCGCAGGUUGCGGAAAAUUACUUUUUUUUAAAGAGUCAAGGGCCAUGAUGUUAUUUCUUUCUAUAGGCUGAACUUCACCUAGGUCAUACCGAAUCGGCCCGUGUAUCUUUUUAUAUGAGCCACACGUUGUUUGCCUCAGAUUCACAUUCAGAAAUCAGGUGAAUCGCCAUCAAAAGGUCCCCAGGGUUUUUCUGGUAAAAUCAAAGCGAUCCUCGAUUUGUUGUAGGACUCAGGUAAAGUCAAAGGCAGGCUAUGAGAACCCGCUCCGUCCACUCCAGCCAUUAUGGCUACGUUUUUAGUCUCUUUCUUUCUUAUUCUUUCUCUUAUCUCAGCUGUGUACAAACUGAUACGGUACUUAGCAGGAAAGUGACUGGAAAUUAAAAUAACUUAGUUCCCCAGAGGUUAUCAGCUGGAUAUCUGUCAUCAUCAGUUUGUACAGAAAGAGAGUCAUCUGUAGCAAGGGGCUAGAUGAAGCAUGUCUCCCUCCCUGUAGCCAUCAGAAACUAUUCGUUCCGACAGACACAAUUAAAAAACCUGCUGACAGAGAGUGUUUAUCUUGGGCAGAGGGUUUUUUUCCGGGCAAGCCUAUAGGCAGAUAUCGGCCAUCUAUGCCACUGUACUAAGAGUUUCCUGGGGAUUAUUCCUUACGGUGGCCAGAAGAAUGGAAAGAAUCUGCACCAGGCCUGUCAUAAAUACACUGCUAGAUGUCUUUGUCUACCUGCCCCCAAACUGGAAAGAGAUGAAAAGUGACCUGGACCAAAUGUUCCUGUAGGAGGAAGAGGGAAUCAUUACAGGUGGACAAGUCACUUAUGCAGAACUACUGCAGGAACAAGAGGGAAAUGUGAGAGUCCGGUCACACAGUUAUUAUUGAUCAAGAAAUGCCACAUGGAAAGCGAUUUCAAAGACUCAGCAAUAUGGGGGAAAUAUAUAUAUGGGUGGCUCCCCAAGAAAAAAACAUACGUUUUACCAUAAAGGAUCAGGCUGUACCUGGGAAGAUCCUGCAAAAACAGUGUUCCCAAGCAUUCAUUCAGAUUCUAAAUGACCAUUUAGUUAACUAUGUUUGUACUUAUUAGUCACUAUUAUGUGAAUAGGUUUUUGUUCACAUGGGUUUUUAGGGAACAGACGUUCUUCAUGCGAAUAUCCAUAUUUGCAUAUAACCAAAAGUGUUUGCUAUUCAUAAUUUGCAGUUCCUUAUUCUCCUAUAUAAAAGUUUGCGACAUUAAAUUAAGGCAUAGGGACAGUGCCAUGUGAUUUUAGGCAACCUGUCAGAUACCACAAAUAGCGUGAUUUAUGAUGAAUAUUUCACAAAAUAAUUAAUAUGCUGUACAUUACUUGUCACAAAUGCAUGGUAAAUAUUUCAAAAAAGUACAUACAGAAAACACAACUUAUUUCUACUGAAUAAUUUGACCAGCUUUAGAUCAGCCAUUAGUUCAUAAAUUCUGGCAUUCUGCCUCCUCCAGCAAUGAGCAAUAGCUGAUGUUCAAGAGAAAGGUUUAAAAAAAACAUACUGUACUUAAAUAGUUGUGCUAUCUUUCCACAAUGAGCAAGAUAUAUAUUUACCUGCUCCCUGUUAGUUACAGAUCAGCUGUGUGGUUGCAUAAAACAGGGAGUAUCUAGGAAGGUGAUUUUUACCCGGGGCGGCUCCAGGCACCAGCGCAGCAAGCACGUGCCUGUGGCGGCAAGCUGCGGGGGGGGGCGGCCUGCCACU